UACUCACCUAUUUUUCUUAUAUAUCCUACUGAAGGUAAAGGAAAUUUCAGAUUUCAAUUUUUAGGGAGGAGCAACGUACAGUGCAUUUUCUUUCUUUCUAAAGAAUAAAGCAAAACAUUAUUUCUCUUUUGGAAAGAAAAAUCAUAUGGAAUUGGGGCAGCAACCUUCUUGCACGAGAUUCAUUCUCAUAUGAAAUUACAUAUUCACAUGGAGUAUUUUAAACCAGCAACGUGAAUUCUUUUGGCAAGCAUCAACAUGUUUUAUUCUAUUUUAGGCAGAUUGGGGAAAAAGGAAAAUUUGAGGUGUGAAAUUGUUGUAACAUUCAAGUGAUUAGCAAGGUUAAGAAGCCAAGUUGAUUAAGGCUAAAAGAGCGACGAGACGAACGGGUUACGAAUAGCCGCUAACAGGUACAGACGCACAGUUUGGUGAUCCACCAGUUUAGGACACCCUCUUCUGCUGUUUGGAGUGCUCCUCUUAUUCCGGAGCCUACAUUUUGGUAUAUAUACUUGUUUGAUGCAUAUGUAUAUAUUUGUUC